rnacentral:lncRNA from 1 species
UUCUCUCUGUGUAUUUCCCUACCUCUCCCUUCAAGGUUAGUCGAUUUCUUCUGUUUUUCUUCUUCGUUCUUUCCAUGAAUUGUGUAUGUUCUUUGAUCAAUACGAUGUUGAUUUGAUUGUGUUUUGUUUGGUUUCAUCGAUCUUCAAUUUUCAUAAUCAGAUUCAGCUUUUAUUAUCUUUACAACAACGUCCUUAAUUUGAUGAUUCUUUAAUCGUAGAUUUGCUCUAAUUAGAGCUUUUUCAUGUCAGAUCCCUUUACAACAAGCCUUAAUUGUUGAUUCAUUAAUCGUAGAUUAGGGCUUUUUUCAUUGAUUACUUCAGAUCCGUUAAACGUAACCAUAGAUCAGGGCUUUUUCAUGAAUUACUUCAGAUCCGUUAAACAACAGCCUUAUUUUUUAUACUUCUGUGGUUUUUCAAGAAAUUGUUCAGAUCCGUUGACAAAAAGCCUUAUUCGUUGAUUCUAUAUCGUUUUUCGAGAGAUAUUGCUCAGAUCUGUUAGCAACUGCCUUGUUUGUUGAUUCUAUUGCCGUGGAUUAGGGUUUUUUUUCACGAGAUUGCUUCAGAUCCGUACUUAAGAUUACGUAAUGGAUUUUGAUUCUGAUUUAUCUGUGAUUGUUGACUCGACAGAUGCAGAUCUUCGUCAAGACCCUCACCGGCAAGACCAUCACCCUUGAGGUGGAAAGCUCUGACACCAUCGACAACGUCAAGGCCAAGAUCCAGGACAAGGAAGGAAUCCCCCCGGACCAGCAACGUCUCAUUUUCGCCGGAAAGCAACUUGAGGACGGCCGUACCCUUGCUGACUACAACAUUCAGAAGGAGAGUACUCUUCACCUCGUCCUCCGUCUCCGUGGUGGCAUGCAGAUCUUCGUUAAGACACUCACCGGCAAGACCAUAACCCUAGAGGUUGAAAGCUCCGACACCAUCGAUAACGUCAAGGCCAAGAUCCAGGACAAGGAGGGUAUCCCCCCGGACCAGCAACGUCUCAUCUUCGCCGGAAAGCAGCUCGAGGACGGCCGCACCCUCGCCGACUACAACAUCCAGAAGGAAUCAACCCUUCACCUCGUCCUCCGUCUCCGUGGUGGCAUGCAGAUCUUCGUUAAGACCCUCACCGGCAAGACUAUUACCCUAGAAGUCGAAAGCUCCGACACCAUCGACAACGUCAAGGCUAAGAUUCAGGACAAGGAGG